GGCGCAAAUAGAGUCGUUUCCCCAGAGUAACUGCUUCUGCCUCCUCUCCCCGCCCCCUGCAUUGACUGAACUGGGCUCUGUCAACAGAGAAGGCAGGAGACAAGAGGGUGAGUAGGGCCCUUCGGGAAACCCCGUGGAAGAGUAGGGAAGCAUAAGCCAUCUGAUAAAGACAAACUGCAGAGGUGAGAGCUAUAGCUAAGAGGAGGGCCACCUAGUUAAAGGCCGUUCUUCACCCAUGCUUGGUCUUGAUAUUUUCACAUUUCCAUUUGUAUGCUUUACUUCCUUAUCUCUUUGCUGUUUAAUACUUCUUAUUUCUAAAGACAAGGCUGGAACAAUCUUAGGGUACUUUUCACAGAGAAUAGAUCAAAUGAUGAGAAUAUCCUUAAGAACAUCCUCAGUGGCCCUGAGGUGAGUGAAGGCCCAGGAUGCAUCCUGAAUGUGGUGUGCAGCAGGGCCCCCUAGUGGCCAGAGGGACUAGUUCUCUUUAGGGAAAAUUUGACCUUGAGGAGAAAGCUUCCACAGAAGGGAGACCAGGGCAAGGCAGAACAAGAGAACAAAAUAAAGCCCCAGAAACUAUUUCUUUAGUUCCAUCUAGGAUCACUUACAUAAGGAGUUUCGAUCGAAAAAGACAAACCAUUUUCACUUCCUUCUUUUAAAAGUCAGGCACUUUGGGAAAUGACGAAAGAUGGAGGUUUCCGUGUGUAUUUGUAUCUUGUCCUUAAAGACCCAUAGCCCACCUCCACUGAUGGCUGUUGUAGGAACCACACUAGAAACGAGUGUUAUGUGUGGAAUGACUUAUAACCAAUAGUGACAGAUUAAUCCAUACAUCUGCAUGAUAUUUUAAAAGACGAUUGGGUUCAUCAAAACAAUAAAACGUCACCACCUCUUGACAUCUUUGAAUGAAUAAAGCAACUAACAAUCUCUUGGAGUUUCAAAAAGAAACUUUUUCUUAAUUUAUGGGAGUAAGCUAAUUUUGAGAUUUUUUUGGUCAUUUUUAGAAUCUAGUACCAAGAAUACAGCAAAUCUUGAAAGACUAAUGCAUUAAACUUGCAAUAACUUGCAAUAAUGACUUGUUGUCAUUUCUCAGAGGUACAAACUUAAGUAUGGGGAAGUGUUAAAGAACUUGUCCAGUCACUUCAACAUUAGUUGCUAGGUUAUAUCCUCUGGGUUACCGAUGUCAUGAUAUAAUGAUUAUUUAUUCAGUGCAUCAUUUUUCAUCCUCAUUGAAGAUGAGGGUCAGUUGGCUGGGGAGAGCACAUUUCUUGGGACAGGCAACAGAGCUGUGGACUAGUGUCAAACCACUUAUUUGACUAUGUAACUGAAUGUAAUCCAUCCUUUGAAGAAUGCAUCACCUCUCGUCCUUGCUCACUCUCAUUUGUGACCACAGACACUGUCACUAUGUUUGUGUCAACAAGGAACAGAGAGGGAGGCGAGGCUGGCUGGGAGUCCUGACGCCAGUGCCCCAGAUGCAGGAGUCAGAGCACUGCGUCACUUCGGGCAUUAGUACUUUUGUGUCCCCCUUAACUCCUCAGAGUCUUCUUGGGCCCAUUUGCCACAGAGAAAUUACUUAACUGUUCUUUCUUCACUUGAGGCUACACAUCAAAAUCUCCAAAUUCAUCAUCCAUUGAGAUCUAUUUUUAAAUGUUUUGGGUCCCUCCUGGGUGCUCAUAAGUACUCUGCAUUUGGCAGUAGAAAAAAGAAUAAAGGAGUUCUGAAGGCCCAAAGGGGUAAGAAAAAGAGGACCUGUCUUUUCUGAUAUCUUAACCAGCAGAAGUUUUACUAUUUAUAUCAGGAGAUAGGCAUAAUGAUGUGGCCAUCCCUGAGGAGCAAUAGGACUUGGUGGUAGGACACUGUCAUCCCUGCCAUAGACACCUGCCUUUCUCCUCUCCUGCUCCCUUUCUCCAUCCCAUCUUCCCAUCUCCAUUUCCUAUCUAUCUUCUUCUUCCGCUCUCCUAAAAUACCGCCCCAAGGCAGGCAGCUUUGCCCACCAGCAUUGCUUAGUCCCUUGAUGUCAAUACCAAGUCCUAAUGCAGUUGCAGACUCUGGGCCUGAAAGCAAGAAAUCUGUGGAGACCUUUUACCUCCCUCCCAGCAAUCCACCGUAUUGUAUAGUCAGUCCAAUCAGAGCCUGAGCACAGGAAUGAGGCUUCUUCAUUCAUCACUCGCUCAUCCAUUCAUUCAACACACACAUAAUAAGCACUUUUUAUAUGUCAGACAUUCUUGCGUAUCCUGGUGAUGCAAAAACAGUCAUUGACCCCAAAGUGAUCACAGGAACAAACUUUUCCAAGUGUUGUCCCUAGAACACCAGUUAUUGAGGACAAUAAUUGUUAUAGGAGAGGAGAGGGGCUACAUUUGUAUGUGGUCAAAUAAAUGGGGGAACUUU